CGCAGCGAAAAACGAUAAGUAA
rnacentral:rRNA from 1 species